UUAUUAAUAUUGAAAAAAUUCACUACAAUUAAAAAAAAAAAUAAGAAUACGGAAUACCCCAGACCAUACCUUUUCUAGCACGCAUUCUCUUCCUAUUUCAUUUACUAAAAGAAAUUCAUCUAAGUUUAAAUAUAUGAAUCAAUACAAAAUUUAUAGACAUAAACACUGAAUUGAAAUAGAAUUUGAUUUAAAAUGUUCAAAUAUCUAUAUUUAUUAAAUAUUUUUUGUUGAAUUAUAUUAUCAAUAAUAUAUAUAAUAGUUUGGGAGACUUCAACGCCGUAUUUUGAGAGAAAUAAAGCUAUCAGAAGGUAAUAAGUAGUCACAAAAACAUCUAAUAUUCUUAAAGGGCCAGAAUCUUAUGGUACUAGAGUUAUAUAAUAGGAAAAGGUACAAAUUGGAGAGAUAUUGCUGUGCCUUUAUGGAUUAGUGUGUGGGAACCAAAUGUAGAUACAUGAAAUUAUAUAGAAUUAUAAAACUAAAAGUACAUUUUUCUUUUAACUAAAUAAAACAUUAUAAUGGUAACUAGAUGAAGAUUCCUUGAGAUGGAGAAUUCGUUGGAUGCUUUUGAAUAUUCAUUUUGUAAUAGUUAAGCAAAAAAAGUAAAAGAUUUCAUGAAUCCUGCAUUUCUUAUUUCUUCGGAAGGAUGGACUUCAUUUGAGAAACCACUUUCACGUCAAUUUCACUAUCAUUUAAUAUAUCUUUAAUUGUGACUCAUAGAAAUGGCGAACUUAUGAUUGGGAUAAGAUCUGAAACUAAGUGAGAGAAAAAUCCUUCUCCAGAACGAAUGUUCCUAUCGAUCAUCACCGAAGUAGUACCUUCUUUUAAAAACCACUAUAUCAGAAUAGUCCUCCACGUCUUCUCGAUUACCACAUCAGAACACUUUCUUCCUAAGAUUUCGGAAAUGUUAUUAUUAUGUUUAGUAGUUGAAGAUAUAGCUAUUAGCUAUACCAAUCAUAGCUAUUAUGAGGCAUUUCUAUUGGCAGUUUGGCAUACUAAAGCAGUUAUUAUUAUUUAAUCAGUUGAUUAUUAUUAUUAUGUAAUCAGUUGAUAUUAUUAUUCUAGGUUUAGAGGUUGAAGAUAUAGCUAUUAGCUAUACCAAUCAUAGCUAUUAUUGGCAGUUUGGCAUAAUAAGGCAGUAGUAGAUACAAAAUAAUAAUAAUAAUCAUUAUUCUAAUUAUGAUUUCUAAUAUAACAUAAUAGUACAUAGCAAUAAGAAAUAAAUUCAGAUAUAGUAUUUUGCAAAACUAAGACAUUUCGUUCUAUUAUAUUAUGAAUAACAUAUAGUAGGGCUGAUUUUUUUAAUAUAAUUAUAUAAA
rnacentral:lncRNA from 1 species